rnacentral:rRNA from 1 species
CAUGGUUGUCGUCAGCUCGUGUCGUGAGAUGUUGGGUUAAGUCCCGCAACGAGCGCAACCCCUAUUGUUAGUUGCCAUCAUUCAGUUGGGCACUCUAGCGAGACUGCCGGUAAUAAACCGGAGGAAGGUGGGGAUGACGUCAAAUCAUCAUGCCCUUAUGACCUGGGCUACACACGUGCUACAAUGGUUGGUACAACGAGUUGCGAGUCGGUGACGGCGAGCUAAUCUCUUAAAGCCAAUCUCAGUUCGGAUUGUAGGCUGCAACUCGCCUACAUGAAGUCGGAAUCGCUAGUAAUCGCGGAUCAGCACGCCGCGGUGAAUACGUUCCCGGGCCUU